rnacentral:ncRNA from 1 species
AAAUAUUAAUAGCAAAGCAAGAGAAAUUUUGUGACGCAAAGCUAUAGGGACUACGGUUUAAUACUAAGUCAGCCAGUUGCUAAG